GUAUUUGGCGGACACAACAUCUUUGUUUGUAUGUGGUGCUGAGGAUCGAACCCGGGCCGCACGCAUGCCAGGCGAGUGCGCUACCACUUGAGCCACAUCCCCAGCCCCAGGAAGGACCUUCCUUGUCCCUGCAGACAGCCUGAUUUUGGACUUGGCCUCCAGAGCUGUGAAGGAACAAGGUUGCUGAUGUCUUUAGCCACAGUUGGUGGCACUUCUAUGACAGCACCCGCAAAGAAAUACCACAUCCGU
rnacentral:lncRNA from 1 species